rnacentral:rRNA from 1 species
CAGCAGUUGAGGAAUAUUGGUCAAUGGCCUAACGGCUGAACCAGCAACUUGCAGGAAUGAGAGUUAAUAUAAUAAGUUAUUAACUUGCUUGACUAGGUCUUAUAAAGUUCUGGAUAAAGCUUAUUAUGAAAACUUUAUAUCCAUAGGUCUCGACCAAAUCUUGUGCCAGCAGUCGCGGUAAGACAAGGGAGACGAGUGUUAUUCAUCUUUAACAGGUAUAUAGGGUACCUAGACGGUGUGCAAUGGCUUAAAUAAGUACCUGGUACACUUGAGUUUGAUAUGUGAGAGGAAUAUGUCGGAAUUGUUGGAGGAAAGAUGAAAUUUGUUAAUACCAAUAGGACUGAUAACGGCGAAGGCAAACCUCUAUGUACAUGUACUUGCUAUUUCUGUUUUUAUUAUAGCAAAAUAGCAAUGUACUAUAACUGACGUUGAGGGACGAAGGCUCAGAGAGUGAAGAGGAUUAGAUACCCCCGUAACCUGGGCAGACAAUGAUGAGUGCCAUAGGUUGGCUUUAAGGCGGAACUAUAAAUGAAAGUGGAAGCACUCCACCUCAAGAGUAAUGUGGCAACGCAGGAACUGAAAUCAUUAGACCGUUUCUGAAACCAGUAGUGAAGUAUGUUAUUUAAUUCGAUG